GGGUCAGUAGGUUGGUCGUGCCACCGGUACGUACUGGUCUCACUGAUUCCUCCUUCCUGAAGAACCGUAAUGCCAUUAAUUUGGUGGUGCGGGGAAACAGGACUGUUACUUUGAAAAAAUUAGAGUGUUUAAAGCAAGCUAACGCUUGAAUACAUUAGCAUGGAAUAAUGGAAUAGGACGAUCGAUCCUAUAUUGUUGGUUUCUAGGAUUGACGUA
rnacentral:rRNA from 1 species